GACGAACGCUGGCGGCGUGCUUAACACAUGCAAGUCGAACGGAGCACCUUUGAAAGAGACUUCGGUCAAUGGAUGAGACUGCUUAGUGGCGGACGGGUGAGUAACGCGUGAGGAACCUGCCUUUCAGAGGGGACGAACAGUUGGAACGACUGCUAAUACCGCAUGAUGCAUGAUCAGGGCGAUCCUGGACAUGCCAAAGAUUUAUCGCUGAAAGAUGGCCUCGCGUCUGAUUAGCUAGUUGGUGAGGUAACGGCCCACCAAGGCGACGAUCAGUAGCCGGACUGAGAGGUUGACCGGCCACAUUGGGACUGAGGAUACGGCCCAG
rnacentral:rRNA from 1 species